rnacentral:rRNA from 1 species
CCUACGGGUGGCAGCAGUGGGGGAUAUUGCACAAUGGGGGGAACCCUGAUGCAGCGACGCCGCGUGGGUGAAGGAGCGUUUCGGCGCGUAAAGCCCUAUCGGCAGGGAAGAAGGAGGACGGUACCUGACUAAGAAGCCCCGGCUAACUACGUGCCAGCAGCCGCGGUAAUACGCAGGGGGCAAGCGUUAUCCGGAUUUACUGGGUGUAAAGGGGGCUCAGACGGCGAUGCAAGCCAGGAGUGAAAGCCCGGGGCCCAACCCCGGGACUGCUCGUGGAACUGCGUGGCUGGAGUGCAGGAGGGGUAGGCGGAAUGCGUGGUGUAGCGGUGAAAUGCAUAGAUAUCAGGAGGAACACCGGUGGUGAAGGCGGCCUGCUGGACUGAAACUGACGUUGAGGCCCGAAAGCGUGGGGAGCGAACAGGAUUAGAUACCCGGGUAGUC